CAGCUAAUUCCAGCCUUCUUGGAGGUGGAGGAGUGGACGGCUGUAUACACCGAGCUGCUGGGCCCUGCCUUGUUGCCGAAUGUCGCAACCUCAGCGGCUGUGAGACUGGACAAGC